rnacentral:rRNA from 11 species
ACCUAUGGUAUUUUUGCUCUUUGAACUCAGGAGGUCCCACCUGAAUUUGGAAGCUAAGCAGGAUCAACCAUUAUUUGUAUUAGGAUGGGAGACCACCAACAAACACCAAGCACAGUAGGCU